GCACAGCUGAGGAGUCCCAUACUAGGACGAAACGGCCGUCCAAUGC
rnacentral:hammerhead_ribozyme from 1 species